AAUAUUAUUUUAAUUUUUCAAAAGUUUUAUUUUACUAUUGAAUUUUUCAAUUUAUUUUAUUUAAUUAAGUCAAUACAAAUUUAAACUGGUUAUUUAUUUUAAUAAAUUUAUAGUUGUCAAAAUUAUAUAAAAUUUAUUAAGUUGUAAAAAUAAACAACGUAUUCAAAUUUUAAAGUUAAAAUAUUAUUGACCGAUUCAAAUCAAAACUUUUUUGAAAGAAUGUAUACAAAAUUAAAAUUUUGAAAGGG
rnacentral:lncRNA from 1 species